AUACUUACCUGGCAGGGGAGAUACCAUGAUCACGAAGGUGGUUUUCCCAGGGCGAGGCUUAUCCAUUGCACUCUGGGAUGUGCUGACCCCUGCGAUUUCCCCAAAUGUGGGAAACUCGACUGCAUAAUUUGNNNNNN
rnacentral:snRNA from 1 species